rnacentral:lncRNA from 1 species
AUUCUGUUAGCUUGUUGAAAAUUCAGGAUAAAAUUCUUUUGCAUGAAAGAUUAGUAGAUUUUCAAAGAAGCCAAAGAAGCCACUGUGAAUUACUUAGAGGAUAAUUUUACAGAAUGAAAAGUAAGGUUCGUGGGCUAAAAAAGAGCUGUCAGAAACCAAAGAAGUGAAAUCACAGUUAGGCCAUCAGAAAGUGGAAUGGGAAUGAGAGCUCAGCAGCUUGAGAUUCACCUUAAAGCAAGAAGAAGAGAAUAGAAGAAAUGCCGAGAUGUUAUAUGAAAAAAUGAGGGAGCAUUUAAGAAGAAAAGAAGACCAAUAUAGUAAAGAAGUUGAAGUGAAACAGCACCUAGAACUCACUUUCCAAGCAGUAAAAGUGAUAGUGAAGACUGAGAGAAAUAAUCUGAAUCAGUUGAUGUUCAGUUUGCAUCUGAUGCCUUUAGUGUGUCUUCUUGAGGAUCUACAGAUUGGUCAAAUGUGUGUGAUGACCUACUUUUGUAAACAGAAGAACAAGAUAUACAGAUUUGGAAGGAAAAAUACAUUAUUUAGAAAGAUAAAAAGGAAAAGUUUCUCUACUGGAACGUUCCCAUGAUAUUUCAUUGUUUCCCAUUAAACAUGAUGAGAAAAUCUUUAUUAAAGGAAAAUGUUUUUGUAUUAUGUGUGUAUGAUGAAAAUUUAUAUAGCAUUUUAAGUGAUGUUUCUCUGCAUCUAAGUUACUUUUUAGCAGAUUUAAACAUCAGCACUGUUGAAUUUUCCAUAUUCUAAGUGAUAGUGUUAGUCACUCAAUUGUUUCUGACUCUGUGUGACCCCAUGGACUGUAGCCCACCAGGUUUCUCUGUCCAUGGAAUUCUCCAAGCAAGAAUACUGGAAUGGGGAGCCAUUCCCUUCUCCAGGGGAUCUUCCAGAUCCUGGGAUCAAACUGAGGUGACCUGCAUGGUGAUUCUUUACCAUUUUAGCUGCCAGGGAUGCCCUUUACAAACUCAGACUGAGCUCUAAUACCAGCUAUUUAAACAGCACCCAAGCAAGCAGACUUGCCAUUAAUAUUUAAUUUAUUUAAUAUUUAAUAAUUAAUUUAAUAUUUAAUUAAUAAUUAGAGCUCAGACUGAGCUUUAAUACCAGCUAUUUAAACAGCACCCAAACAAGCAGACUUGUCAUUAAUAUUUAGUGGUGUUGAUUGUUAGCAUUUUUGUAUUGUCCAGUUUUUAUUACUACUUAAAGAUUUAGAUACUGCUGUUAUGACUUCCGUCAAUGUUUUGAUGUGUUACAAUUGUUAAUAGUGGCAUAAAACUUACUAUAUGUAAUUUUAAACACAGAUUCAUAGGCCUUUCCUCAUGGAGAAAUAAGAUUUGCCUGAGUUUUUGCCUUUUAAAUGAAUUAACUUUUUAUAAUUUUUAUUCUUAAUUAGAGGAUAAUUACUUUACAAUAUUGUGAUGGUUUCUGCCAAACAUUGAUUUGAAUUGGCCAUAGGUAUGCGUAUGGCCCCUCCCUCUUGAACCUCCCUUCCCGUUCCACCCCUCUAGGUUGUCACAAAGCACCAACUUUAGGUUCACUGCAUCAUACAGCAAAUUCCAAAAAGACACAUGUACCCCAGU